rnacentral:rRNA from 1 species
AUCAACCACCCCAUUGCCGAGUGGUUCCGGUGCUACGCAUCGGCUGGACUCUCCCACUAGCCGGUGUAACCCUGACUCUGUGCCGGGUUUGAGGAUGCCCUCCGUCGUCAUCCCUUAGAAGGCGUUACCUGCUUUCAGACUGCCUCGUUGCGGCGUACUCACUUCUUCCGGAAGCCCAGCAUUUUGAGACAACGGCCCCUUCUUGUUCACGGCAAGCUUGUCCCGCCGCGGAACUGCCAUGGGCCGGUCUUUCGGUGCCGAUUGAUGCACGGUCGUCGGCGCCAUUAUGCAUCCACCGUUCGCAACAGGCCUUAAUAACCCGCAUUUCGCGCGCGUCCGCCGAAGAAUUCAGACUACACUUUAGAACGCCGAGUUGGCGUUCGCCAGUAACCUUUGACCCUCCGAACUCACGUCUUCUCCUCUCACCUUAAGGUGCACAUCGCCACUUUACGCAUCUCUACACCUCCUUGUGGUCACCGCUUCCGCCGAGAGACCAGACAUUGACUGCGACUCCGCGCCUUCGCACCCCUCGUUUGUCCUAAUCUAUGGGACCAUCAGGUGCGGCAUUUGCUACUCACGAUUCACAAUCUCCCAAAGGCGGGAAAUCACGACGUCGAUUGCGUAAUUCGUGAGGCG